rnacentral:rRNA from 1 species
GCACAAGCAGCGGAGCGUGUGGUUUAAUUCGAUGCUACACGAAGACUUACCAGGUUUGACAUGCAGUGGUAGGAAUCUGAAAGGACGACCUUCGGGAGCUUGCACAGGUGCUGCAUGGCUGUCGUCAGCUCGUGUCGUGAGAUGUUCGGUUAAGUCCGCUAACGAGCGCAACCCUCACUGUGUGUUAUAUGUGUCACACGGGACUGCCGGUUUUAAGCCGGAGGAAGUGGGGAUGACGUCAAGUCGGCAUGGCCUUUAUAUCCUGGGCUACACACACGCUACAAUGGUCGGUACAAUAGGUUGCCAAGCCGCGAGGCGGAGCCAAUCCACAAAGCCGGCCUCAGUUCAGAUUGUAGGCUGCAACUCGCCUGCAUGAAGAUGGAGUUGCUAGUAACCGCAGGUCAGCAAUACUGCGGUGAAUACGUUCCCGGGUCUU